AGGGACUUGGAUCCAGGUUGGAAUUGUGAUGCUCCCUGUGGGUUUGGAUCCCUCCAGCUCUUCCCUGGGACAUAAAUUGGGAUCUGGGAGAUAAAUUGGGAAGUGAAUCCCCCAGGAAGGUGUGGAGGGACCUGGAUCCAGGUUGGAAUGGGAAUGUCUGUGUUGUUCCCCGUGGAUUUGUAUCCCUCCAGCUCUUCCCUGGCAGAUAAAUUGGGAUCUGGGAAGUGAAUUCCCCCAGGAAGGUGCUGGAGGGACCUGGAUCCAGGUUGGAAUUGUGUUGUUCCCUGUGGAUUUGUAUCCCUUCAGCUCUUCCCUGGCAGAUAAAUUGGGAUCUGGGAAGAGAAUCCCCCCGGGAAGGUGCUGGAGGGACUUGGAUCCAGGUUGGAAUUGUGUUGCUCCCUGUGGGUUUGGAUCCUUCCAGCUCUUCCCUGGCAGAUAAAUUGGGAUCUGGGAAGUGAAUCCCCCUGGGAAGGUGCUGGAGGGACCCAGAUCCAG